rnacentral:lncRNA from 10 species
GGAGGAAGGAAGGAAGGAAAGAAAGAAGGAGAAGAAAAAAAUUUUUUCUAAGCACAUAAUGCAAUGCUCAAUUCUUUUUAGAUAAUGGGAAGCAGAGUUUGAAUUGUUCCCUUUGUAAAAGAUAACUCAUUUUAGCUCCAUUUCCUUCCUGGAGGUAGGAAAGCAAGUUUGGUAGUGAAUAGGCCAGUUAGUACAUCGUAUCCAAGCUGGUCAGAUCCUGGGACUGUUGAGACAGAUUCUUGUGCACAGAACCACACAAAUCAGAGAUUCAGAAAACAUGAGAGUAAUGAAAGCUAAGACCCAUAUGUGAAAUACAUAAGGGUUAGUCAGAUUUUAAUUAAAAAUGUAUUUUUUUUUAGAGACAGGGUCUCCCUCUGUCACCCAGGAUGGAAUGCAGUGGCAUGAUCAUAACUCACUGUAGCCUCAAAUUUAUGAGCCCAAGGAAGCCUCCCACCUCAACCUCCUGAGUAGCUGGAAUAGCUGAGACUACAGAUGCAUGCCACAAUGCCCAGAUUUUUCUUUUCUUUUUCUUUUUCUUUUUUUUUUUUUUUUUGAGACAGGAUCUCACUGCACUACCCAGGCUGGUCUUGAACUCCUGGCCUCAAGUAAUCCUCACACCUUGGCCCUCUAAAUUGCUGGGAUUAUAGGCAUGGGCUACCAUGCCAGGCCCCUAAAAAAUAUAUUUUUUUAUGAUAAGCCACUUCUGCAGUUCAAUAUGUGUACUUGCUUUAAACCCUACUUUGAAUCUAAAUUACUUCCUUGAUGUUAAUUGAAUUAAGGUCUAGAGGUACCCUCCUACCUGACACAGACACACCCUGAUUUUCAGGACUUACGUAUUUCAUAAAUCCUUAUCAAUAACUUUAUAAAUUAAUUAGGCACAAGCAGAUGAUUGUAAAGUUUUCAUAAAAUUUGUAGAAGAAAAAUAAUUUGUGUUUAUAAGAAUAUCACAGGAACUUUAGAGAC